UACGUAGGGUGCGAGCGUUAAUCGGAAUUACUGGGCGUAAAGCGUGCGCAGGCGGUUAUGUAAGACAGGUGUGAAAUCCACGGGCUUAACCUGGGAACUGCAUUUGUGACUGCAUAGCUAGAGUACGGUAGAGGGGGAUGGAAUUCCGCGUGUAGCAGUGAAAUGCGUAGAGAUCGGAAAGAACACCAACGGCGAAAGCACUCUGCUGGGCCGACACUGACACUGAGAGACGAAAGCUAGGGGAGCGAAUGGG
rnacentral:rRNA from 1 species